rnacentral:rRNA from 1 species
CGGCGGACGGGUGAGUAACACGUGGGUAAUCUGCCUUAUACAGGGGGAUAACAGUUAGAAAUGACUGCUAAUACCGCAUAAGCGCACGGGGACGCAUGUUUCUGUGUGAAAAACUCCGGUAGUAUAAGAUGAGCCCGCGUCUGAUUAGCUUGUUGGUGGGGUAACGGCCUACCAAGGCGACGAUCAGUAGCCGGCCUGAGAGGGUGAACGGCCACAUUGGGACUGAGACACGGCCCAAACUCCUACGGGAGGCAGCAG